AAAAACUCCGGUGGUAUGGGAUGGGCCCGCGUCUGAUUAGCUGGUUGGCGGGGUAACGGCCCACCAAGGCGACGAUCAGUAGCCGACCUGAGAGGGUGGCCGGCCACAUUGGGACUGAGACACGGCCCAAACUCCUACGGGAGGCAGCAGUGGGGAAUAUUGCGCAAUGGGGGAAACCCUGACGCAGCAACGCCGCGUGAGUGAGGAAGUAUCUCGGUAUGUAAAGCUCUAUCAGCGGGGAAGAAGGAAGACGGUACCCGACUAAGAAGCCCCGGCUAACUACGUGCCAGCAGCCGCGGUAAUACGUAGGGGGCGAGCGUUAUCCGGAUUUACUGGGUGUAAAGGGAGCGUAGACGGCGUCGCAAGUCUGAAGUGAAAGCCCGUGGCUCAACCGCGGAACCGCUUUGGAAACUGUGAGGCUGGAGUGCUGGAGAGGUAAGCGGAAUUCCUGGUGUAGCGGUGAAAUGCGUAGAUAUCAGGAGGAACACCGGUGGCGAAGGCGGCUUACUGGACAGUGACUGACGUUGAGGCUCGAAAGCGUGGGGAGCGAACAGGAUUAGAUACCCUGGUAGUCCACGCGGUAAACGAUGAGUGCUAGGUGUCGGGGGGCAAAGCCCCUCG
rnacentral:rRNA from 1 species